AUGGGCCUGCGGCGUAUUAACUUGUUGGUGGGGUAACGUCCUACCAAGGUGAUGAUACGUAGCCGAACUGAGAGGUUGAUCGGCCACAUUGGGACUGAGACACGGCCCAAACUCCUACGGGAGGCAGCAGUAGGGAAUCUUCCACAAUGGACGAAAGUCUGAUGGAGCAACGCCGCGUGAAUGAAGAAGGCCUUCGGGUCGUAAAAUUCUGUUGUCAGAGAAGAAUGUGCGUGAGAGUAACUGUUCACGUAUUGACGGUAUCUGACCAGAAAGCCACGGCUAACUACGUGCCAGCAGCCGCGGUAAUACGUAGGUGGCAAGCGUUGUCCGGAUUUAUUGGGCGUAAAGGGAACGCAGGCGGUCUUUUAAGUCUGAUGUGAAAGCCUUCGGCUUAACCGAAGUAGUGCAUUGGAAACUGGAAGACUUGAGUGCAGAAGAGGAGAGUGGAACUCCAUGUGUAGCGGUGAAAUGCGUAGAUAUAUGGAAGAACACCAGUGGCGAAAGCGGCUCUCUGGUCUGUAACUGACGCUGAGGUUCGAAAGCGUGGGUAGCAAACAGGAUUAGAUACCCUGGUAGUCCACGCCGUAAACGAUGAGUGCUAAGUGUUGGAGGGUUUCCGCCCUUCAGUGCUGCAGCUAACGCAUUAAGCACUCCGCCUGGGGAGUACGGUCGCAAGACUGAAACUCAAAGGAAUUGACGGGGGCCCGCACAAGCGGUGGAGCAUGUGGUUUAAUUCGAAGCAACGCGAAGAACCUUACCAGGUCUUGACAUCUUCUGACAAUUCCAGAGAUGGAACGUUCCCUUCGGGGACAGAAUGACAGGUGGUGCAUGGUUGUCGUCAGCUCGUGUCGUGAGAUGUUGGGUUAAGUCCCGCAACGAGCGCAACCCUUAUUGUCAGUUGCCAUCAUUAAGUUGGGCACUCUGGCGAGACUGCCGGUGACAAACCGGAGGAAGGUGGGGAUGACGUCUAAUCAUCAUGCCCCUUAUGACCUGGGCUACACACGUGCUACAAUGGACGGUACAACGAGUCGCUAACUCGCGAGGGCAAGCUAAUCUCUUAAAGCCGUUCUCAGUUCGGAUUGCAGGCUGCAACUCGCCUGCAUGAAGUCGGAAUCGCUAGUAAUCGCGAAUCAGCAUGUCGCGGUGAAUACGUUCCCGGGCCUUGUACACACCGCCCGUCACACCAUGAGAGUUUGUAACACCCAAAGUCGGUGGGGUAACCUUUUGGAGCCAGCCGCCUAAGGUGGGACAGAUGAUUGGGGUGAAGUCGUAACAAGGUA
rnacentral:rRNA from 1 species